UGAUGGCAAUGAUGAUUUUUAAAUUUACUAAUCACCUGACAAAUAUGAGGGUGUUCAGUCACUACCUCAUCUGAUGCCAUCU
rnacentral:snoRNA from 10 species